UACGUAGGGUGCAAGCGUUAAUCGGAAUUACUGGGCGUAAAGCGUGCGCAGGCGGUUAUGUAAGACAGAUGUGAAAUGCCCGGGCUUAACCUGGGAACUGCAUUUGUGACUGCAUGGCUAGAGUUUGGCAGAGGGGGGUAGAAUUCCACGUGUAGCAGUGAAAUGCGUAGAUAUGUGGAGGAACACCGGUGGCGAAGGCGGCAUCCUGGACCAACACUGACACUGAGGAGCGAAAGCCAGGGGAGCAAACGGG
rnacentral:rRNA from 1 species